rnacentral:rRNA from 1 species
GAUAAUAUAUUUGAGAGGCAUCUCUUGAAUAUCAAAGGUGAGCCAGUACAGGAUGGACCCGCGUCUGAUUAGCUAGUUGGUAAGGUAACGGCUUACCAAGGCGACGAUCAGUAGCCGACCUGAGAGGGUGAUCGGCCACAUUGGAACUGAGACACGGUCCAAACUCCUACGGGAGGCAGCAGUGGGGAAUAUUGCACAAUGGGCGAAAGCCUGAUGCAGCAACGCCGCGUGAGUGAUGAAGGCCUUCGGGUCGUAAAACUCUGUCCUCAAGGAAGAUAAUGACGGUACUUGAGGAGGAAGCCCCGGCUAACUACGUGCCAGCAGCCGCGGUAAUACGUAGGGGGCUAGCGUUAUCCGGAUUUACUGGGCGUAAAGGGUGCGUAGGCGGUCUUUCAAGUCAGGAGUGAAAGGCUACGGCUCAACCGUAGUAAGCUCUUGAAACUGGGAGACUUGAGUGCAGGAGAGGAGAGUGGAAUUCCUAGUGUAGCGGUGAAAUGCGUAGAUAUUAGGAGGAACACCAGUUGCGAAGGCGGCUCUCUGGACUGUAACUGACGCUGAGGCACGAAAGCGUGGGGAGCAAACAGGAUUAGAUACCCUGGUAGUCCACGCUGUAAACGAUGAGUAC